rnacentral:rRNA from 1 species
UACGAAGGGGGCUAGCGUUGCUCGGAAUUACUGGGCGUAAAGCGCACGUAGGCGGCUUUCUAAGUCGGGGGUGAAAUCCUGGAGCUCAACUCCAGAACUGCCUUCGAUACUGGAGAGCUUGAGUCCGGGAGAGGUGAGUGGAACUGCGAGUGUAGAGGUGAAAUGCGUAGAUAUCGGGAGGAAUACCUAUGGCGAAAGCAGGCUUCUGGGCCAUCACUGACGCUGAGCUGCGAAAGCUAGGGGAGCAAACAGG